rnacentral:rRNA from 1 species
CCUACGGGCGGCAGCAGUGGGGAAUAUUGGACAAUGGGGGCAACCCUGAUCCAGCCAUGCCGCGUGUGUGAAGAAGGCCCUCGGGUUGUAAAGCACUUUCAGUGAGGAAGAACGCCUGGUGGUUAAUACCCAUCAGGAAAGACAUCACUCACAGAAGAAGCACCGGCUAACUCCGUGCCAGCAGCCGCGGUAAUACGGAGGGUGCGAGCGUUAAUCGGAAUUACUGGGCGUAAAGCGCGCGUAGGUGGCUUGAUAAGCCGGUUGUGAAAGCCCCGGGCUCAACCUGGGAACGGCAUCCGGAACUGUCGAGCUAGAGUGCAGGAGAGGAAGGUGGAAUUCCCGGUGUAGCGGUGAAAUGCGUAGAGAUAGGGAGGAAUACCAGUGGCGAAGGCGGCCUUCUGGACUGACACUGACACUGAGGUGCGAAAGCGUGGGUAGCGAACAGGAUUAGAUACCCUAGUAGUC